rnacentral:lncRNA from 1 species
ACUAGGUAUCCGCGUCAAGCCGGAACCAUGUAUAGCAGCUCCUUGUGUGUAGGGAGAAAGUUAAAACUGCCAUCUAAGGGUGUCGAUGGGAAGACUAAAAGUAGGCUCACCCACCUGCUGUGAAGCAGCGCGCGCGAGCUGUUACUAACAGUAGUGAAAAGCCGGGAUCCCUGCCCCCGAGGCACGCACUGGGGCGCCGGCUGACCCAGAGACCUGAGGGAGACUCAUUGCCGGAGCUGCACAGCCUGUGGGGCUGGAGGGGAACCGUCGCCCUUGGCGGGCUUCCCCAACCGCCAAGGCCUGAGGACCGCCGAGGGCGUGGCGGGAGCCUGUCCUCGGUUUUACAGGCCGGCUGGGGAGCUGCGUUGGAGGAGAGAGCCAGGGGCUGGGGCCCGGUGAUGGAGCCUGCCUUGGGGAGUGCAUGUGUUGGAGAGAGGUGGGAAGCAGAUAGGAUAACCCUGACCUGAGCCAUGGAGACGCAAGGACAGGACUGGUAGACGGGUCAGUGGGCAGCAACUUAAGACUGACCUCGCUUGAGCCUUUGCCUGCGAACGAGGUAUAAUACCCACCUCGGGGGCUUGAGGAUCAAAUGAGGGGCUCCACCCACGGCAAAGUGUCACUAAGCGGGAUGGAGGAGGAUGCAGGAAGAGGAGUCUGGGAGGACCCGCUCUGAAAAGGAUGGAACUCGAGAGCACCAUUUUCAGGGACGAAGAUAAGCUGUUUAUUUGGGGCAGGCUGUGGGGAGAGCUGUGCAGCAAACAGCCACCCGGGGCCCAGGGCAGAGGCCUUCCAGGCUGGCUCGGGCACUUCUGGGUCCCAUGUCCCUGGUUUUGCAUCAUCCAUACCAAUCACUCCAUGUUGCUAUGUUCCUUCACCAGAAGACUGGGGGCUC